GAUGAACGCUGGCGGCGUGCCUAAUACAUGCAAGUCGAGCGAACGGACGAGAAGCUUGCUUUUCUGAUGUUAGCGGCGGACGGGUGAGUAACACGUGGAUAACCUACCUAUAAGACUGGGAUAACUUCGGGAAACCGGAGCUAAUACCGGAUAAUAUUUUGAACCGCAUGGUUCAAAAGUGAAAGACGGUCUUGCUGUCACUUAUAGAUGGAUCCGCGCUGCAUUAGCUAGUUGGUAAGGUAACGGCUUACCAAGGCAACGAUGCAUAGCCGACCUGAGAGGGGAACGGGCCAACCGGGAACUGAGACAGGGUCCGGAUCCCUAGGGGAGGCAGCGGUAGGAAAUCUUCGGCAAUGGGCGAAGGCCUGAGGGAGCAACGCCGCGUGAGGGUGGAAGGUCUUCGGAUCGUAAACCCCUGUAAUUAGGGAAGACAAAAUGUGAAGGUAACUGGGAACAUCUGGACGGUACCUAAUAAGAAGCCACGGCUAACUACGUG
rnacentral:rRNA from 1 species